AGUCGUCACGGAGUCGCUUCGCAGCUCAGCCUUCGCUGGAAGGAUAGAUGGAUCAAUAGGCAUCGAAGCAGGCUGGAAACAGAGCUGA
rnacentral:SRP_RNA from 14 species